GUGGGGAAUCUUGCGCAAUGGGCGAAAGCCUGACGCAGCAACGCCGCGUGGGGGAUGAAGGCUUUCGGGUUGUAAACCCCUUUCAGCAGGGACGAAUCAAGACGGUACCUGCAGAAGAAGCCCCGGCUAACUACGUGCCAGCAGCCGCGGUAACACGUAGGGGGCAAGCGUUGUCCGGAUUUAUUGGGCGUAAAGAGCUCGUAGGCGGCUCGAUAAGUCGGGUGUCAAAUCCUCAGGCUCAACCUGGGGCACCACCCGAUACUGUCGUGGCUAGAGUCCGGUAGGGGAGCGUGGAAUUCCUGGUGUAGCGGUGAAAUGCGCAGAUAUCAGGAGGAACACCAGCGGCGAAGGCGGCGCUCUGGGCCGGAACUGACGCUGAGGAGCGAAAGCGUGGGUAGCAAACAGGAUUAGAAACCCCAGUAGUCC
rnacentral:rRNA from 1 species